rnacentral:tRNA from 1 species
CAAGGAAUAGUUUAAGUAGAAUGUCAGCUUUGGGUGUUGAUGGUGGGGGUUAUCUCCUUCCUUGA